UACGGGGGGGGCAAGCGUUGUUCGGAAUUACUGGGCGUAAAGGGCUCGUAGGCGGCCAACUAAGUCAGACGUGAAAUCCCUCGGCUUAACCGGGGAACUGCGUCUGAUACUGGAUGGCUAGAGGUUGGGAGAGGGAUGCGGAAUUCCAGGUGUAGCGGUGAAAUGCGUAGAUAUCUGGAGGAACACCGGUGGCGAAGGCGGCAUCCUGGACCGACAUUGACGCUGAACGGCGAAAGCUAGGGGAGCAAACGGG
rnacentral:rRNA from 1 species